GUGCUCGCUUCAGCAGCACAUAUAUUAAAAUUGGAAUAAUACAGAGAUUAUCAUGUCCCCAUGACACAAAAAUUCAUGAAGCAUUCCAUAUUUUU
ensembl:snRNA LOC120093919 U6 spliceosomal RNA